rnacentral:rRNA from 1 species
GACGAACGCUGGCGGCGUGCCUAAUACAUGCAAGUUGAGCGCUGAAGGUUGGUACUUGUACCAACUGGAUGAGCAGCGAACGGGUGAGUAACGCGUGGGGAAUCUGCCUUUGAGCGGGGGACAACAUUUGGAAACGAAUGCUAAUACCGCAUAAAAACUUUAAACACAAGUUUUAAGUUUGAAAGAUGCAAUUGCAUCACUCAAAGAUGAUCCCGCGUUGUAUUAGCUAGUUGGUGAGGUAAAGGCUCACCAAGGCGAUGAUACAUAGCUGACCUGAGAGGGUGAUCGGCCACAUUGGGACUGAGACACGGCCCAAACUCCUACGGGAGGCAGCAGUAGGGAAUCUUCGGCAAUGGACGAAAGUCUGACCGAGCAACGCCGCGUGAGUGAAGAAGGUUUUCGGAUCGUAAAACUCUGUUGGUAGAGAAGAGCGUUGGUGAGAGUGGAAAGCUCAUCAAGUGACGGUAACUACCCAUAAAGGGACGGCUAACUACGUG